rnacentral:rRNA from 1 species
CGUGCAGAGGCGGGGAUGCUUACAUAAGACGAGAAGACCCUAUGGAGCUUUAGACCUAAAGUAAGUCACGUUUAAUGUGCUGUGAUAACAGUGGAAACUUAGUGAUAAUUACUGAAGUGUUUUUGGUUGGGGCGACCGCGGGGUAAAACACAACCCCCAUGUGGACCGGGGAUAUUAUCCCUAAUACUCAGAGCCUCUACUCCAAGUAACAGAAAUUCUGACUUUUCUGAUCCGGUAUAACCGAUCAACGAACCGAGUUAC